GACGAACGCUGGCGGCGUGCUUAACACAUGCAAGUCGAACGGAAAGGCCCUGCUCUUGCGGGGUGCUCGAGUGGCGAACGGGUGAGUAACACGUGAGUAACCUGCCCCUGACAUUGGGAUAACUUCAGGAAACUGGGGCUAAUACCGGAUAGGAGCUCCUGCUGCAUGUGGGGGGUUGGAAAGUGUCGGCGGUUGGGGAUGGACUCGCGGCUUAUCAGCUUGUUGGUGGGGUAGUGGCUUACCAAGGGUUUGACGGGUAGCCGGCCUGAGAGGGUGACCGGCCACAUUGGGACUGAGAUACGGCCCAGACUCCUACGGGAGGCAGCAGUGGGGAAUAUUGCACAAUGGGCGGAAGCCUGAUGCAGCAACGCCGCGUGCGGGAUGACGGCCUUCGGGUUGUAAACCGCUUUCGCCUGUGACGAAGCGUGAGUGACGGUAAUGGGUAAAGAAGCACCGGCUAACUACGUG
rnacentral:rRNA from 1 species